AAGGGAGACCUAAUUCCGGUAGGAGACGAAAAAAAAGUAGUCCCUACCAAGAAUCAAUCCCAAAAGGUCGAAGCGAGGCAAGAUUGGCUUUCAAACUAGGUUCUGGGUUCAAACAAGACCUGAAUCAGGAACAAGGGCUAUUAGCCCAGGUGGUUAGAGCGCACCCCUGAUAAGGGUGAGGUCCCUGGUUCGAGUCCAGGAUGGCCCACCUGCACAGGUGGCAAAAACAAAGAAGCGAGGAAUCAGCACCUUAUCUUACUCAUAUAGUAAGAGAGAAUGCUGGCUCUGAGUAAAGAGUCCAGAGGAACCUUGAAAACUGCAUAGAGCUAGGUGAAAAAGCCAAAAAAGAAGACCGCAA
rnacentral:tRNA from 1 species